UACGUAGGUGACAAGCGUUGUCCGGAUUUAUUGGGCGUAAAGAGCGUGUAGGCGGCCAGUUAGGUCCGUUGUGAAAACUCGAGGCUCAACCUCGAGACGCCGAUGGAAACCAACUGGCUAGAGUCCGGAAGAGGAGAGUGGAAUUCCCGGUGUAGCGGUGAAAUGCGCAGAUAUCGGGAAGAACACCCGUGGCUAAGGCGGCUCUCUAGUACGGUACUGACGCUGAGACGCGAAAGCGUGGGGAGCGAACAGG
rnacentral:rRNA from 1 species